AUUAGGAAAUUAAUAUCUCUCUCUCUUAUGGGAAUGGAAGAUCGGAUCUUUUCAAUUAGGAGAAGAUAAAAAUUAAUACAUUUACUCUAGUGCAUUAUGAAUUUGCAAGUAUAAGUCAUUGAUAUUAUCGAGAUUCUCUCCCUCACUUUAUAACUAGGUCUGCGAAAAUACGAAACCUUCCCUCUUCCAUUGACGGCGGUAAUCCAUUCACGGCGCAUUGUGGACGCAACGACAUGGCGAAGACGAAGGGCGGUUCGGGAGCAAACGUGAAGUCAAAGGGUAAAGAAAAACAAGGAGACCAAGUCGUGGAACAUGGGGUUCGUGGCUGCCAAUCUAAUGAAGUUUUUCUUUGAAUGUUGUACAACGAACAUUCUUAAAAGGAAAGCUCAUGAAAUUGGUGGAUCAUCGGCUAAUUUGCCUACUGUUGGAGUAGUUCAGAGCGAACUACCUGCUGGUGCUGGAUCCAUUGUCGACCUAAGGAAAGAGAAGGCGUAUGUUUUAGACAGUCGGAAUGAGACCCAAAUACAUUACCGAGAUGAAAAAUACUUGUCUACGGUCAACGAUGUGGUGAAAAUAAUUGCUUUUGUUUGUUUUGCGACUUUGUUUUCAAUGUGGUAUAUUGUUUAAUGUUUAUGUCCUUUUGUAAUGCUUAUUAAUUACACAUAAACAAAUGCUUGGAGACUACAUGGGACAUUUAGGUCAUGUGCACAAGAGCAACAUUGUGAAACGAGCAAAAAUGUUGAUACCACAUAUCAAAUGGGGGGGAUUCAAAGAACAUAAAUGACUCUGGCGUAUACAUGAUGCGACACAUGGAGGCUUUUAUGGGUGAGACUCCAUCUUUAUGGAGUUAUGGAUUAGCGCCGAAGCUAAAGAAGCAACUAAAUCUCUUACGUGCGAGGUACUGUGCAAUGCUUCUUGGGUGGGAGAAAAUUAUUGCCAGAGAUGCGGUUGCGGUCGGAGCUAAUGUGUACUAUGACGAGGUCUUCAACAACCCCACUGUAGACAUUGAUGCUACUUUUCUAGGAUGAUGAAUUCAACUAAUAUAUGGAUCUUGGAAUGAUGACGCAUAUCUACUUGCAGAGUUAGACUUUGUUUUUCUUUGUUGGUGAGUUGGUUCAUAUUUGGAUCAUUUUGUUAUUUUUGGUUUCUGGAUAUUUGUUGGAAGUUUUGUUAAUUAUGUUGCAUAACUGAUUUGGUUUCCUGCUGAAUAAGCGUGGUUUUGUUUAA